CCUACGGGUGGCUGCAGUGGGGAAUAUUGCACAAUGGGGGAAACCCUGAUGCAGCGACGCCGCGUGAGUGAAGAAGUUCUUCGUUAUGUAAAGCUCUAUCAGCAGGGAAGAAAAUGACGGUACCUGAGUAAGACGCCCCGGCUAACUCUGUGCCAGCAGCCGCGGUACUACGUAGGGGGCAAGCGUUAUCCGGAUUUACUGGGUGUAAAGGGAGCGUAGGCGGGAUUGCAAGUCUGGAGUGAAAUGCGGGGGCUCAACCCCCGGACUGCUGUGGAAACUGUAAGGCUGGAGUGCAGGAGAGGUAAGUGGAAUUCCUAGUGUAGCGGUGAAAUGCGUAGAUAUUAGGAGGAACACCAGUGGCGAAGGCGGCUUACUGGACUGUAACUGACGUUGAGGCUCGAAAGCGUGGGGAGCAAACAGGAUUAGAUACCCCAGUAGUC
rnacentral:rRNA from 1 species